AAAGCAAUAUACAGCUAAUGGUCUGCUUACUUUUCCAGAAUUCCUCUUGCUGAUGACAUGAUUCCUGUUUGAUUCUGUUUAGAAGAUUGUGAAUGCUGAAGAGGGAAUUGUAGUAUUGUGCUGGGAACGAAUACGAUUCUUAGAAUAUCACCUUCAUUUUAAGAAAGAGAACUAGAAGCUUCAUGUCAAACAAACUUCUUUAGAAGAGCUUUCAGACCUACCAACCAUUGCAAAAAAGGUA
rnacentral:lncRNA from 1 species